CUGAUGGCAGCCUUGGAGCACUGCAGGCACGAAUAGAGGAGCUUGUCGUCAUCAUCAGAGUGCGAAAACAAAAUCUUUACAGGCAAACUGAUAGCAACAAGAGGCGACAUAGAAUUCGCAAGGUCAUCUUGGAUGA